rnacentral:rRNA from 1 species
AAGAGUUUGAUCCUGGCUCAGAUUGAACGCUGGCGGCAGGCCUAACACAUGCAAGUCGAGCGGAUGAGGGGAGCUUGCUUCCUGAUUCAGCGGCGGACGGGGGAGUAAUGCCUAGGAAUCUGCCCGAUAGUGGGGGACAACGUUUCGAAAGGAACGCUAAUACCGCAUACGUCCUACGGGAGAAAGCAGGGGACCUUCGGGCCUUGCGCUAUCGGAUGAGCCUAGGUCGGAUUAGCUAGUUGGUGGGGUAAAGGCUCACCAAGGCGACGAUCCGUAACUGGUCUGAGAGGAUGAUCAGUCACACUGGAACUGAGACACGGUCCAGACUCCUACGGGAGGCAGCAGUGGGGAAUAUUGGACAAUGGGCGCAAGCCUGAUCCAGCCAUGCCGCGUGUGUGAAGAAGGCCUUCGGGUUGUAAAGCACUUUUGUACGGGAAGAAAAGCACCCGGUUAAUACCCGGGUGUCAUGACGGUACCGUAAGAAUAAGCACCGGCUAACUUCGUGCCAGCAGCCGCGGUAAUACGAAGGGUGCAAGCGUUACUCGGAAUUACUGGGCGUAAAGCGUGCGUAGGUGGUUUGUUAAGUCUGAUGUGAAAGCCCUGGGCUCAACCUGGGAAUUGCAUUGGAUACUGGCAGUCUAGAGUGCGGUAGAGGGUAGCGGAAUUCCCGGUGUAGCAGUGAAAUGCGUAGAUAUCGGGAGGAACAUCCGUGGCGAAGGCGGCUACCUGGGCCUGCACUGACGCUCAUGCACGAAAGCGUGGGGAGCAAACAGGAUUAGAUACCCUGGUAGUCCACGCCCUAAACGAUGUCAACUGGUUGUUGGGUCGUCUCCGCCCUUCAGUAACGAAGCUAACGCGUGAAGUUGACCGCCUGGGGAGUACGGCCGCAAGGUUAAAACUCAAAGGAAUUGACGGGGACCCGCACAAGCGGUGGAUGAUGUGGUUUAAUUCGAUGCAACGCGAAAAACCUUACCCACCUUUGACAUGUACGGAAGGUCGCAGAGACGCGAUUGUGCUCGAAAGAGAACCGUAACACAGGUGCUGCAUGGCUGUCGUCAGCUCGUGUCGUGAGAUGUUGGGUUAAGUCCCGCAACGAGCGCAACCCUUGCCAUUAGUUGCUACAUUCAGUUGGGCACUCUAAUGGGACUGCCGGUGACAAACCGGAGGAAGGUGGGGAUGACGUCAAGUCCUCAUGGCCCUUAUAGGUGGGGCUACACACGUCAUACAAUGGCUGGUACAAAGGGUUGCCAACCCGCGAGGGGGAGCUAAUCCCAUAAAGCCAGUCGUAGUCCGGAUCGUAGUCUGCAACUCGACUACGUGAAGUCGGAAUCGCUAGUAAUCGUGGAUCAGAAUGUCACGGUGAAUACGUUCCCGGGUCUUGUACACACCGCCCGUCACACCAUGGGAGCGGGUUCUGCCAGAAGUAGGUUAGCCUAACCGCAAGGAGGCGAUUACCACGGCAGGGUUCGUGACUGGGGUGAAGUCGUAACAAGGUAACC